AGAUUAAACUGAAGAGUUUGAUCCUGGCUCAGAUUGAACGCUGGCGGGAUGCUUUACACAUGCAAGUCGAACGGCAGCAUAGAGAGCUUGCUCUCUGAUGGCGAGUGGCGAACGGGUGAGUAAUAUAUCGGAACGUGCCCAGUAAUGGGGAAUAACUAGCCGAAAGGUUAGCUAAUACCGCAUACGACCUACGGGUGAAAGCAGGGGAUCUUAGGACCUUGCGUUAUUGGAGCGGCCGAUAUCUGAUUAGCUUGUUGGUGGGGUAAAAGCCUACCAAGGCAACGAUCAGUAGCUGGUCUGAGAGGACGAUCAGCCACACUGGAACUGAGACACGGUCCAGACUCCUACGG
rnacentral:rRNA from 1 species